AACGCACGAGACCUGCGGACCUGCGGAAGGAUCAUUACCGAAGUCCCGAGCGGGCCUGUGCCAUACGUGAAAAGUGUGCACGGCCCGUCUCACACACACACCCGUGCACGGAAGGGGAAGAGGGGGGGGUGUUUCACUUCCCUCCUCCCCCCCACAAAAAACGCCUUUUUGAAACUGGGAAGCCACAACGUGUGCAACCUUUGACAACUUUCAACAACGGAUCUCUAGAUCGGAAGAGCA
rnacentral:misc_RNA from 1 species